GGAAAUAGAGGCACCGAAGAAUAAGCUCUCCUGAACGAUUUUCACUGGAAAGAUUUUUCAACAUUCCAUCUGUCCACUCCACCAGCCUGAGACAGCCAUCUUUACUGAGGUUUUGAACAGCUAUGAUGGCAGGAGUUGGAGCAGCCAUUUUGGGCCAUGAGAUGAAAGCCUUAUAUUGAGCCAUGUUUUGAGCAGAAGAACAGAAAAGAAGGAACCUGGGCCCCUGACAUUACUGAGCCACCAUAAAGACCUAGGCUCUCUACUGGAACUUCAGAGUCCUAAGUGUCUUCCUGGAGACUUUGGGACACUCUCAGGCAACAGAGGAGCAGAGAAACAUGAUGGUG